UCGGUGGGAUUUUCGUCCGUU
rnacentral:miRNA from 1 species